GUCGGCGUAGCUCAGUUGGUCAGAGCGCUGUUCCUAGGAUCAGAGGUCGCAGGUUCGAGCCCUGCCGUCGGGCGCGCCA
rnacentral:tRNA from 1 species